rnacentral:rRNA from 1 species
AUUGAACGCUGGCGGCAUGCUUUACAUAUGCAAGUCGAACGGUAACAGGCCGCAAGGUGCUGACGAGUGGCGAACGGGUGGGUAAUGCAUCGGAACGUGCCCAGUCGUGGGGGAUAACUACUCGAAAGAGUAGCUAAUACCGCAUACGAUCUAUGGAUGAAAGCGGGGGACCGUAAGGCCUCGCGCGAUUGGAGCGGCCGAUGUCAGAUUAGGUAGUUGGUGGGGUAAAGGCUCACCAAGCCAACGAUCUGUAGCUGGUCUGAGAGGACGACCAGCCACACUGGGACUGAGACACGGCCCAGACUCCUACGGGAGGCAGCAGUGGGGAAUUUUGGACAAUGGGCGCAAGCCUGAUCCAGCAAUGCCGCGUGCAGGAAGAAGGCCUUCGGGUUGUAAACUGCUUUUGUACGGAACGAAACGGCUCUGGUUAAUACCCGGGGCUAAUGACGGUACCGUAAGAAUAAGCACCGGCUAACUACGUG